rnacentral:tRNA from 2 species
GGAGGGUUAGCUCAGCUGGGAGAGCAUCUGCCUUACAAGCAGGAGGUCGGCGGUUCGACCCCGUCACCCUCCACCA